rnacentral:rRNA from 1 species
GACGAACGCUGGCGGCGUGCUUAACACAUGCCAGUCGAACGGAAAGGCCCUGCUUUUGUGGGGUGCUCGAGUGGCGAACGGGUGAGUAACACGUGAGUAACCUGCCCUUGACUUUGGGAUAACUUCAGGAAACUGGGGCUAAUACCGGAUAGGAGCUCCUGCUGCAUGGUGGGGGUUGGAAAGUUUCGGCGGUUGGGGAUGGACUCGCGGCUUAUCAGCUUGUUGGUGGGGUAGUGGCUUACCAAGGCUUUGACGGGUAGCCGGCCUGAGAGGGUGACCGGCCACAUUGGGACUGAGAUACGGCCCAGACUCCUACGGGAGGCAGCAGUGGGGAAUAUAGCACAAUGGGCGGAAGCCUGAUGCAGCAACGCCGCGUGCGGGAUGACGGCCUUCGAGUUGUAAACCGCUUUCGCCUGUGACGAAGCGUGAGUGACGGUAAUGGGUAAAGAAGCACCGGCUAACUACGUG